rnacentral:rRNA from 1 species
GCAGUAGCCGCGGGAAUACGGAGGGUGCAAGCGUUAAUCGGAAUUACUGGGCGUAAAGCGUGCGUAGGCGGUUCGUUAAGUCUGUUGUGAAAGCCCCGGGCUCAACCUGGGGAUGGCAAUGGAUACUGGCGAGCUAGAGUGUGUCAGAGGAUGGUGGAAUUCCCGGUGUAGCGGUGAAAUGCGUAGAGAUCGGGAGGAACAUCAGUGGCGAAGGCGGCCAUCUGGGACAACACUGACGCUGAGGCACGAAAGCGUGGGGAGCAAACAGGAUUAGAUACCCCGGUAGUCCCUGUCUCUUAUAA